rnacentral:misc_RNA from 1 species
AUUUUUCCUGCAUUUAAGCAAGAAGGUACAACUGCAUACGUUGGAAUGGAUGUCAAAGAAUUCAUUGGAGGGACUGUCAGUAGCUUUUCAAGGAAUUAUAAAGUUCUCUUUAUAUCACUGAUUGUUUUGAAGGCUCAUAUAACAAAAGGAGCUGAUUAUUUUACUGAUACCAAAUGCUUGUCUCAUGCUCUGGUAUUGUAUGAACGAUUCAAUAGUAUUGUUUGUCAGAACACUACAUCAAGCAAAGAUCCCACGCAUUGGUUACCAACCGUUUGUAUUAAAUCGUGUCAAAUAACAAUAAAAGAAACGCUUUGUGAUGCGACCAGUGGACUCACGAUUCGACUGAACGUGUCGGAUGGACUGCGUAUCAGUUUCCCUGUGCAUAUGUAUUCUACCAUAUGUCUAGGAUGCCAUAAUUUUUCAGAAGUCAAUAUCGCAUGCAAACUAAACUUUGUAAUGUGUGUAAAAAAUGAAACAAUAAAGUCGACGUCCUCUCAGACAAUGAAAAGGAAACAAACAGGUUCUCUCUCUCUCUCUCUCUCUCUCUCUCUCUCUCUCUCUCUCUCUCUCUCUCUCUCUCUCUCUCUCUCUCUCUUAAAUUUUAUGACAAACAAAACUCUAAGCGUAGAUCGACAUAAUAAUGUUGAUAUAAUGUAUGUUUGCUUGCAAUUUAAUAGAUCCUCAAAUACGUAGAAAUAAUCUUUAAAAAAUAAUCUUUCGAUAAUUUAGUUUAAUGUUGAACUUAAAAAUUUGAAUACUUUGAUAUGAUAUCGCAAGACUUAAAAUAUAAUCAGAACAUUAAAUGUAACAAUGACUUAGAUUGUAGUCAUUGUCGGAACACAGAAAAAAAUGGUACCAUAGAAGAAAUUUCCUCUCGUCCAAACUCUGGUACUACAAAACCUUUGACGUCAAAGGCCACAAGUAUAAGUGAAGGCUAUUUAGUACUUGCAACACUGUUGGGUCUGGUAUUUGGAAUCCUUGUUGUUCUGGGCCUCUCGUUGAUUAAAUCAAAGUUUGAAAAGAGCAGAUUGAGCGUCUUACAGGGAGAAAGUGUUCAAAAUAGCACUUACAAUAUAUCUCCGAAAGCAUCAGAUACGGAAAUUCCGAAAAAGCCUUUGACAAGUGAUGUCUAUGCAAAAAUUAAGAAAAUUACUAAAACGAGAGAUGAUGGUAACAUCUAUAAUCAUCUUCAUGAAACGAGGGUAAAUUCCGAUUUCAACGAUUCUCCGUAUGACCAUGCCCAAUGCCUUACAGAGAUUCAAUCAACACCAAUAAAAGCUAUAGAGGAUACGUACACUCAUGUCCAUAAAUUGUGCUAAUAAUUUAAGGACCACAACACAAAAUGAACAAGCAUGUUCAAAGUGGUUAAAAUCGUCUGAAAAAAAGUGUUUUUGUAAUCAUCGAGGAUUUGUAACUUAAUAUUCUAACAAAGCGUUUGUAGUAAAUAAACGUUAAGUUUUUGAACAGCAAAGUGAGUCUCAAAUGAUUAUAAACUUCAUUUCUAACAUUUACAUCUUCGAUACUUAAACCAACAUAUUUGUGGUUUUUUUAAUCGAUAUUGCUUAUAAGAACAAAUGAAAAAAUAGUAUAAAGUAUCAUCAUAAUGUGCACAAAAUGGUAUUUCCAUCAUUAUUAAAAUGACAAGACGAUAAGCCUAUAAAGAGGAAUCAAAUGAAAAUUACAAACAAAAACAUUUUCAGAAUCUACAUUACAAUCUUGUUAGUAUACCUGUACCGUGAGAAUAUUGACUAUUUUCCAUAGGUAUAAUUAUGCAAAUAUGAUUAAUAUGUUUUUGAGGGCCAUGAUCAAUUAUGCUUAAUAACAUAAUGUUACAAAUAUAGCCUCUGACUUGAAACCUGUCAGCAUUGAAAUGGUUAACAAUGUUAAUUUAACUUGAAAUACAAAACCAUGCAUGCAUAUGUGGUACCUACUGAUUUGUUUGCUUUUAAUAUUUGCAUCAGUUUAUAAGUAUUUUGUAAGUAUUUAAAAGAAAUACAAUUUGCUAUUGUAUAAUCAUAUAUGUUAAUUUUGUAAAUAUAAAAUUAAUAAAUUUUAAAACUU